AGGCGCCGGUGGGGCCUGCUUCAAGUGCGGGGAGCCUGGCCACAUGGCCAGGGACUGCUCGGUCAACGGCCCCGCUGGUGGCGGCGGCGGCGGCGGCUGCUACAAGUGCGGCGAGCAAGGCCACAUCGCCAGGGACUGCUUCAACGGCGGCGCCGGCGGAGGAGGCGGCGGCUACGGCGGCGGCGGCGGCGGUAACUGCUACAGCUGCGGCGAGCCGGGCCACAUCGCGAGGGACUGCCCCACCAGCAGCGGCUUUGGCGGGGGCGGCGGCGGGAGGUUCGGCGGAGGAGGCGGCGGCGGCGGCGACCGCACCUGCUACCACUGCGGCGAGACCGGCCACAUCUCCCGCGACUGCACCAAGUGAGGGGAUAUCUCUGCCCCUCCCCCUCUAUAGAUUGCGCCUAAAUACCUCUCGUCUUAGUUUUGCCGAUCGAUCGAUCUGGGCCUGAGCGCCCAGCCGCAGCCGCCUCGCUUAUUUUAUCUUCCUCCCCCCUUCCGUUCUCGGAAUCCGUCCUAGGGGAAAGUCAGUCAGUCAGUCAGUCCGUGUGAUGGUUAAUUUUGCUAUGAAUUGGUCCUCUGGUACCCGUACCCGUACUCUCAGUUGAUGUCUAAGGUCGUGAUGAUGAUGGAUUAUUGGUGAUUUUUGUGUGGUGAUGAUGAGGAGAUUGCAACACAUCUCUGUUUUUUGGUUUCAUCGAUGAAGUAAAAGAUGCCGGUCGUUAUUAUCAUCCUCCAUGAGUGAAUGAAUGAAUUCUCUCUUGUCAGAUCAGAUCUCUGCUCUAGUGGUAGAACUAUUACCUCUGUCUGACAUCCUGUUUGUUAAUUGAUUAUGAUUAUGUUAAAGUAGAGUUUG
rnacentral:lncRNA from 1 species